rnacentral:ncRNA from 21 species
GGGUACUCUCGGGGCAGGGUGAAAUUCCCGACCGGCGGUGAAAGCCCGCGAGCCUUCCGAAAGUUUUUAAGUUUUUUGUAGGAAGGUUGAUCCGGUGGAAUUCCGGAGCCGACGGUGAAAGUCCGGAUGGGAGAGAGUACCA